rnacentral:rRNA from 1 species
GACGAACGCUGGCGGCGUGCCUAAUACAUGCAAGUAGAACGCACAGGAUGCACCGUAGUUUACUACACCGUAUUCUGUGAGUUGCGAACGGGUGAGUAACGCGUAGGUAACCUGCCUGGUAGCGGGGGAUAACUAUUGGAAACGAUAGCUAAUACCGCAUAAGAACAUUUACUGCAUGGUAGAUGUUUAAAAGGUGCAAAUGCAUCACUACCAGAUGGACCUGCGUUGUAUUAGCUAGUAGGUGAGGUAACGGCUCACCUAGGCGACGAUACAUAGCCGACCUGAGAGGGUGAUCGGCCACACUGGGACUGAGACACGGCCCAGACUCCUACGGGAGGCAGCAGUAGGGAAUCUUCGGCAAUGGGGGGAACCCUGACCGAGCAACGCCGCGUGAGUGAAGAAGGUUUUCGGAUCGUAAAGCUCUGUUGUUAAGGAAGAACGAGUGUGAGAAUGGAAAGUUCAUACUGUGACGGACUAACCAGAAAGACG